ACAGGGACAUGUUUACUUCCAGCAACCUGGGCAGAGUUUCCCCAAUAGCCUGCAUCCAAGCCUAGUUCCUGUAAUUGCUUUGACAGCUCAGGUAAUGCCAUGAAGAGUGAUGGUGUUUAAGAAAAAGCGGAGCGUCAGGGUUGGGGAGUGGAGUGCGUUGCCCAGUGGAGGAACUCUGUUCGGAGGCGUUUCCUGUGUGGCGAAUCAGCGGGUGCAUCGCGGUUGCCAUAGUGACCUGACGUCAUUACGGCGACGAUGGAGGCCCUGAAGACUUUUUAUUAGAUUUCAACAUGGCGAGAGAGGCAGGGUUUCGACUUCAGGUGUUUGGGCCGCAGCUGAGGGUGUAGGUACCCCGCGAUGGAAGGUGAAGCUCCCUGGAGUGUGAAGAGACGAAGGGAAUGCUGCAUCCAAGGAAGUCUGCUUUGGGACUCAGUGCUGGCCAUCUCGUGAAGGGGAGGGAGCUGGGACUCUCCUGUUCCCAGUUAUUGGUGGUGGUGGUGGUGGGUCCUGCUCCAGGGUGUCCUGGAGCGACUUUCCAGCUCUUCAUGCUGAUGACCGAGCGCAUAUCAGGUGUCUGAAGGAGGUGGGUUCUGAGGAUCUGGGUGGAGCUGGCUGCUGAAGCUUCUACUACUGAUUUGAAGGCCAGCCUUUCUCAAGAGACCCCCAGCGCUUCCAGUAUGGGAUGCGGCACCUGGCUCAAGGAGGCACUGAAUGACUGGAAUCUUGCUGAGAUGCUGGUGGAUUUUGUAGCACUUGAGGACACUGCACUAGAGACGACAGGACAGGUGCGGACAUUUCCUGUACAUAUAUGAACCCACGCAGCACCGCACGAGCAGCCACUGGACGAACACCACACCUGGCUUCUCUGACCUAUCACUGUGCUCAUGUGAUUCACACCAGGGAAGGGUGCAGACUGUGCACCCAGAACCAGAAGUUCUAAGAGGCGAUGCAGGUGUGGAAUGGAGCUCCUAGACUGGCUAGCAGAGCAAGAGUGAGGAGAUCAGGCUCCCAUCGUGGCGACAGUAGAGCACAGCAUCUCCGGCCACCGUGACAGGUGCAGAUUUCUCCCCACCACAGCUGAUCAGCUCUGCAGAGGUUUCCCAGUGGGCAGCCAGGCGACCCUACUUCCAUUCAGCUCCACCACUGCCCACCGCGAGGCAGCUUCACAUCCCACAGGCCACAGCAGAGAGCUGGAUUGGAAGUGCAGCAGCCAAGUCUCAACCUGGUGCCGAUAGGGAUGCCUGUGCUGCAGGAGGCGGCUUUACCUGCUCUACCACAGUGCCAGUGCCAGCUCCUGAUGUCAACUUCUGAAUCUGGUGCUGUGAACAUUCUCGUUUGUACUGAUGGGGUUCAGGAAUAACUACUCCAAAAUGUGACACUCUGGCAUGCAGAAUGUUGUAAGCUUUGAGAAAAUGGUAGAAGCAGGGAACCCAUUCUCACUGCCGCUCCCUGAAGCAGGUCAUCCACCUUAGCUGGGAUUUUCUUCCCUUCCCCUCAAGUAGCAACUAGGAUGCUCACAGGACAGGUCCCUCUGUCCCCAGAGGACGGGGCCAUCCUUAUCUCUGAAUGAAGGGACACGGAGAACCAUCUGAGCCCGCGGGCCUGGGUGAGUGUCCUCUACUUUACUGUCAUGUGAUCAGACCCCCGCCCCCUGGGGUGUUUCUCCACAACUGUGCCUUGUGCAUCAACCCUGGACUAAAACCCUGUGGGCUAGCUGUUUCCUGGGCCUUCAGUUCCUUUAUGCUAAUUGGUUAGGCAGCAAAUCCUCGCUCCUGACCAUUCCCCCGUCAUUGAUGGUUACUGCUCCUCAAGAGUGGCUAGGCACAGACAGCGCCCAUGUUACAGCUGUCUGUCUGUGUUACAGGUCUGGGUGCUGGAGAACUGUUACAGCUGUCUCUUACAGCUCUGUUCCAGCCCCUCCUCACGCGUUGGGUCACACCUGCUCCUCUGUGCUGAUUCCUGAGGACUGCUGGACUCUUCUGCUGGAGCUGCUCUCCCCUGCCAGGUCUCUUCUCCUCACCAGGAAGACCGAGGCACGCCAGGAACCACUGAGCUCUGGCCGCCAGGCGACCUGCUCAGCAUGCCAGGCUCCAAGGUUUCUGUCUCUCAGGGAGGAAGUUUGAUGAUUGGUCGAACUGUAUGCUAAAGAGGAAUUCUGUGUGAACAAAUCAGGGAGUCAGGAAAACCCACAUGCAAUUGGCUCAGCGAGGAACCAAUCCGCAGUGGCCUACCAUGGCGCUCAGGGGACCUAGGGGAGUUAGCAGUGUUCUGAAACAGGUCCUUGGUGGGCGGGGCCUGGCGAGAAGCAGGAGCCAAUCAGGAGUGGCCAGAGAGGCUUGCAGGUGCAGGAAGCCACAGGGUCCUUAAACUGUAUGGGCCCUCCGGAAAGCCCCGCUGGGUGUCUCUUGGUGUUGAAUGUCCGUCAGGUGGGGGAAAUAUCAGGAAGGAGGGAUGAGAAUUCCUGGGAUCAGCUAAUGUACGGUGGGGUUGACCAGGUAUCUGCCUCCGGAGGAGACUGUGAGAUCCCUUCAGUGACGCUGUUUCUGUGUUCCCGUACACGGAGCCCGUGGUUAGCGGAGCCGGGUGGUUAGCGUCUCCUCAUCUGUGCUAGCGCCGGGCAGCCGCUCGGCAUGCUGAGUGAUGUGACAGGGCCCCCUCAGGGCCUGCCUCGAGCACGGGGCUGCUGCUCAGGAGAGCCCGGCUGGGGUUUAGGCCUUUCCAGAGAGGAAGUUUGCCAAUGGCUGGAGGUGCGUGCUCACCGGGUGUUCUCCGGGAAGCAAUCAGCCUUAAGGAGGAAGCGCUGCGCCCUAAGGGGCCACGGGGUCAGGGCCAAGGGGAGGGGGAAGGCGGUGAAGAAGAGGAGCUGUGUAGGUGAAGGAACAAGAAGGCACAGCCCACGGGGCUGGGGUGCCGUUUCACUUCCCGGAGGGCGGCCGGCCGGCCAAGGGCUGUGCCUGCAGAACCACCCCAGCAGCAGCCAGAGGGCUCAGAGGGUGCGCGGCCAUAGUUCGGCUGUUGGGGGUGCGACGGGGGCUUCUGGUGCAGGGCCCAGAGCUCGCAGGGCGUUCGCCUUUGUGGCUGCACCGCCGGCCCGGGGAGCCCGCAGCAGCCGGCAAGCAGCUCUCUGGGUGACAGGGAAGCAGGCCUUGUUCCCAGAUGAGCCAGGUGUGGACAGAGGCCCAGAGACAAACUGCUCGGCUGAGGGCACAUUUUGCGUUGGGGGUGGCAUUGCCCCGCUAGGAAGAGCCAGGCGUGCAAGGACAGCACCCUGGGUCUGUGCCCGGGGAGUCCUCCCCAGCGUCCAUUUUCAGGUGAACUUCCCGGCAGCAGGGCUGUGCUGGGGCAGGCUCACUGCCCCCAGGUGCUGCAGCCUAGGGCCUCUGCUUAGUAAGCCCUCUCAGGUGGUGGCACAGGCUUUUUUCAUGGAAAGACCAAGUAACAGGGAUUUAAGGAGGCAUUUCCUGAGUGGACUAGCAGCCUGUUAAUGGCAUUUAUCUCUGAAACUCAUCAUGGUGGCUUUGUGGAUGUUGACUACUUUUAAGGCAAUCCACAUGGCCUUGUGUGAGAGGGCUUCCACCUUCAGAUGUGUGGACACAGCAGCGGCUCUGAGUCUAACCUUGGUGGGGAGUGAAGCCCCUACAGCGUGUGGAGAGAACGGAUCCCACCUCCACCUCUGCCCCGGCCUGGCUUGCUGUGGGUCUCCAUGGGGCUGUCUCAUGUGGAAUGGUGAAUGGAGUGUCCCACUGCAGGGUGUCCUGGCGCCACUUUCCAUGCAAAGACAGGCGUGUCAUGAUGGGCCUGUACCGACUCCUGACCUCAGCUUCCCCCGUGUAAAAUGGGAGUAAUAAAGCUCCGCCUCAGAGUCGGGCAGCCAUCAGGGAUAACACCUGCUCUAGAGCUCACCAGUCCCUCCCAUGCCUCUCUCUGCUGGGUGCUGGGGUAUGCACCUGGCUCUGAGGUCCCUGAGCCGUCAGACAUGAUAAUAUGCAUUCUGCAAUGACUGCUCUGGUUUCAGCCAUUCUACAGUGGGGGUGUGUGGUAAGCAAGGAGUUUAUCUAGUGUUGUUAAAUUUGUCAGCUACAGCAAUUCAGUGUUUUCAAGAGUAAUAGCUUGUCCUUUGUCAUAUGACAGUGGUACCCCUUGGUGUCCCCAAACACCAUUGUUGUGUUUCCCAGGACGUAAGGUUUCGGUUCAGUAGUACCCAGUGUCUCCUCACCUCCUGCUGCCCUAUGCCCAGGGAAGCGCAGCGCUCCUGUCCCUGUGCGUUAGGAUUCUUGCCCAAGACACUGGAGAUGAAUGGAGUCUUAGAGAUGUGUAUGUUUUUGGUGAUGUUGAUUUGCCUUCUUUGAUACGAUUUGUUUUUCAUUUGACCUGUUUUGUUGCACAUGUCCACAUUUACUGCUGAGUAGUAUUCUGCUCUGGAAGUCUAAUAUUGUAUGUUUUAUCCAUUCACCACUUGAGGAAAUCGUGUGUUGUUUCCAUCUGGGGCUGUUGUAUGUGAAUCUGCCAUGGACCAUAGUGCACUCAUGGGUCUUUGCAGGGACAUAGGACUUCUUCCCUAGGACAGAUACUUGGGAGUGCACUGGCUACAUCAUACUGUAGAAGUAAGAUUGAUGUUGUGGGGGCCGGCUUAGUGACAUAGUGGGCUUAGCCUAUGCCACUGGUUUGUGUCCUGGCUUCUAUUCUUCCAAUCUGUCUCUCUGCUUAUGGUCUGCGAAAGCAGUAGAAGAUGGCCCAAGUAUUUGGGCUUCUGUACCUGAGUGGGAGGCUCGGGAGAAUUUCUGGCAUCUGGCUCUGGAUAGGCCCAGCUCCUGCUAUUGUGGUCAUCUGGGGAGUGAAGCAGCGGAUAGAAGACCUUUCUGUCUGUAACUUCGCCUCUCAAAUAAAUAAAAUCUUUUAAAAAAUCGAUAUUGUGAUGCACUGACAGAUGGUUGCCAGUGUGGUUGCACCAGUUUUCAUUGGCCUUGCAGUGUAUGAGAGUUUCAUCUUACACAAACCUGCUGGUACGUGGGAUGGUUGGGGUUUUGAUAGACUGUGGUCAUUCUCUAGUAAUGUAAUUGUAUUUCAUUGUCGUUUUCAUUGAUCUUUCCCUAAAGAUUAAUUGUGUUCAGUGAUUUCUGUGUUCUUGUUUGACAUUUGUAUAUCUUCUUUAGUGUAUCAUCUAGUCACUUCUUUAGCCUGUUUCUUUUCUCAAAAUUAUUUUCUUCAUUUGAUAGAGCCAGAGAGAGAUGGAGUUCGAGAUCUCUUCUUUCUGCUGUUUCACUGCCCUAAUAGCAACAACAGCCAGGUCUGUGCCAGGAUGAAACCAGGAGCCAGGAACUUCAUCCUGAUCUCCCAAGUGGGUGGCAGGUGCCCCGGUCCCUGGAGUGUGUUCUGCUGCUUUACCAGUGCACUAUCAGGCAGCUGUGUCAGAAGCAGAGCUCCUGGUUCCUGAAACAGCACUCUGAUACGGAAUAUCAGCUUCACAAGUGGCGGCUUAACCCGCUGUGCCACAACACUGGUCUGUGCCUGCUUCUUUGUUGGACCAUUAGCUGUCUUUUUUAUGACUUCUGUGAGGUUUCUCUGUUUUCUGAUUAAAAAUCAGUUAUCACAUACAUGAUGUUAAACUAAUUUCUCCGGGCCAUGGCCUUGUCUUUUUUUCUGAACACUGUAUGGAAAAACUGAAGUUCCUGAAUCUGAGGAAGUUUCAUUUAUUAAUUUCUGGAUGGGAAGCAGAGCAGUCGGCACUCACACUGAUGCUGCUAUGGGCUGCUGGUAUCCAGGUGGCAGCUUAACCCAGUGUGUACAACGUGGCCCAUAUUUAUUUAUGUGAAAUGGGGAGAAUCUUCCAUGCUGUGUUUUAUGCCAGAGCCAGAACCCUGUAACUCCAUCUGGAUCUCCCACAUGAUGUCAGGGCCCAAUGCCUCGGGCCAUCUUCUGUUGCUUUCCCAGGGAGCUGCAUCGAAACCAGAGCAUCCUGGGAUCAUCCUGUGCUCUGAUGUGGGAUCCCAGCCUGGAGGCUGCCGCUUCACCCACUGCAUGACCACACCAACAUCUGAGGUUUUCUUUUGUUCUCUCAGCAAUAUGGUGGUAUUAGGUGUACAAGUUUUGUGCAUGUGUAAUCAGAUUAUUUUCAAAAAUUCUUACUUUCUCUUGCUUCUGUAGUUGGUAUUUGAAAAGAUUUAUUUAUUUACUUACUUAUUUACUCAUUGAGAGUGAGGGACAGAUCUUCCAUCUGCAUGUUCACUCCCUAAAAUAGUCACCACAGCCAGUACUGGGCCAGGUUGAACCCAGAAUGCCUGAAGUCCAUCCAGGUCUCCCACAUGAGUGGCAGGCCCCAAGCACUUGGGCCAUCUUCCCCUGCUUUCCUAGGUGCAUUAUGAUGGGGCUGGAUUGGAAGCAGAGCAGCUGGGACUUGAACCGGCACUCCGACGUGGGAUGACCCUGGUGAGUCGCAGCAGAACUCACUGCGCCACAAUGCAGAUCCCUAUUUUCAAGAACACUUGCUAAUUAUUGGUGUUGUCUGAACUGUCAGUGACAAGAGUUUCACAGUAGCUGUUGAGGAACUUGUUAGUUGGAAGCUCAGGCUAUUGUAGAAUGGACAGAGUAUUGAUGCUUCAUUUGUGGUUACUGGUAUUUAUCAGCUUGUAGAAGGCAAUGACAGUCUACUGAUACUGGCAAGGCAUAUGUUCUAGAGAAUUCAUGCAGCUUCAGAAAAAUCCCAGUGAAUGCAUACUUUAGCCAUUUUCCACUUUAUAUGUGUAUUUACAAGUGGAUCUGUUGUGUGUGGUUUUCUUUAUCCCUGUAAAUCCACCUCAGGGAACACCUGGGAUUGUGGGUGGUGAGAGCGAGAAUGAGAAACAGCGUGUGUGUGUGUGUGUGUGUGUGUGUGUGUCACUGAGGCUCCCAGGUGUGUUUAUGGCAAGGGUACUUCAUCACUGGCCAUGCCCGUUAUACUUGCUUCCUAGACACACGGAACAGGUUUCCUUUCCCAGCACGGGUACCAUGGGGGCUCAGUGACUGCUGACAUUUUGUCUUUGGUGUGGAUUUCUGGAAGAGAGACAGCCGGUCCCAGGAGAGAACAACUGUGUAAUCACAGGAGGUGACUUCAAGUCCCCUCCACGGGGCAUCUGCUACAUGACAUUUUGAAGGGACGUCUCUUCCAGCCUGUUCAGAAACCACAUGCUCCAUCCCAGGAAAGGCUAAAGGGAGAGGGAAGCCUGUGGCCCCACCCAUGAGACCACGCAGGGUGACCUUGGCCCUUUCUGCAUCUGUGAGUGGGGUCCCUUCAGGAGACAGCUGCCCCUUAGUGCUGGGUGCCUCAGUUUCCCAGGGUUAAUCCUCUCCCCACUCACCCCCAUCAUUGCUGUGCAGAUGCUGAGUUUCCAGCAUUCAGGGUGAAGGUCAGGCUGACCUUGCCUGGAAUGGGGUCCGUUUGAGGCCCUAGAGCAUGGGCUGGACUCUGCCAUCCGUGUUGCUCCAGUGUUGCUCCCUUGACAGAGGACUUGAGAUGGACUCAGAAGGUGGAGGAGGCUGUGCCGACUGCACUGAGAGGGCCUGGUGCCCCAUGAACCCCACUGUGUAUCUACUACAUUCACUAGAUGGAGCUGUGGGAGUGGGCGGGAAAUGAAACCAUGCAUGUAUCCUGUCAGCCUUUGUAAACAUAUAGAUUUUUAAGGGGAGUUGGAGAAACACUGUAGUGUUUUUGUGUUAUCACCUUUGAGGGAAAAUCUGUUUAAAAAAUUUAGUUGGGGAUGGGGGCACAAAAAUAACCUGAAGAAAGGGGAUAACACUGUCACCUGGUGACCAGGGUCAGAACUGCAGGAGUAAGGUUUCAACCAGGGUAGAGGGUUGGAGGGGAGUGAGUUUCAUGGAUUCCAUUGUAUAGAGCAAAGCUUUCUGAAAUUUUCUGCACACUCAUCACAAUCUUCCUAUAGUCAUGUGUUCCCUGGGAUCUUUCAGCUCUGGGACUACAGUCCAGCCUGUUUGUGAACUGAGUGGAAAACUGCUGGACUUGGUAUGUGAACAGCUGUUGCGAAGAAGCCUGAGAGACAAACAAGCACACACCCAUGCACACAGACACACUGUCAGAUAACUUGUUUUUAUCUGCUAUUUUGCACGGAAAACAGUAUUCUGUGAACUUGCUUACACAGCAAAGACUAGAGAGAACUGUUUCGAAACAGUUCAGUUAUUUCAUGUUUUGAGCAUUUUGUACAAUAAAGUCUCCUUAUUAGAAACACUAGAGUUUCCAUAUUUAAAACUCAGGUAAAUUGGGGCUGGUGCUCUGAUGUAAUGGAGCGGGUAAAGCCACCACCUCUAGUGCCGGCAUCUCAUAUGGGUGCUGGUUCGAGUCCUGGCUGUUCCCCUUUGAUCCAGCUCUCUGCUGUGGCCUGGGAAAGCAGUAGAAGAUGGCCCAAGUCCUUGGGCCCCUGCACCCAUUAUGUGGGAGACCUGGAGGAAGCUCCUGGAUUCUGGCUUUGGAUCAGCCCAGCUCUGGUCGACCAUCUGGGUAGUAAGCCAGAAAAUGGAAGACUUCUCUCUCUCUGCUUCUGCCUCUGCCUUUCUGUAACUCUGCCUUUCAAAUAAAGAAAUAAUUAAAAAAAAAAACUCAGGUAAAUUCGUAAGGGAUUUCUCUACCUCACCCAUUGCAGCACGGUGCAUUAAAUGAAUCCAUUUAAUGUGUCUUUUUCACCCAUCAGACUCUGAAUAUGAUUCUUUGUAAGCCUAUUUCCACGCUAUCAUCUUGUGAUUUGGUUCAUUAUCUGUGUUUACAAACUUUGUUAUCUUAAAAACUGUAUCUCAAUAUCUUUCUCACAUUACCCAUUAAUUGUUUUUGAUAUUUAAAACAUGAAGGAUAAUUCAAAAGUGUACUAUAAAUUGAAAUCAUUUGUCUUCUCUUUCUGUCCCCACUGUUACCCCAUCUGUAGUAAUACAAAGACCAUGUCUCUUAAUUGUGGUAGCUACUCUUCGUGUUUUUCUCCAUAUGUGUAUAGUAACGUAUUUAAUCACAGCAUCUGUAAACUAUAUGUACAUGUAUUUAUAUAUAUUUUUACAUAUAUAUCUUGUAUAAUGGAGUCAUAUUCUAUAUUUGUCACUUGCCUGAUUGAUUUUAUUUUUCUUGUUUGUUUCUGUAUGUUAAUGGGUGAUUUUAUCUGUAUCUUUUCAUUAUUCUUACUUGUAUUUUUACUUAUUACAAAGGCAGACAUGCACAAAGGGAGACAGAGACACACAGGGAUCGUCCAUCUACCCUCUCAUUCCUCAGAUGCCUGCAGCUGCUGGAACUGGGCUAGGGCCAUGCCAGGAUUUCAAACUGAACCUGGGUUUCCCAUGUGGGUGUCCAGGGUUCCCAGAACUCGAGACGUUAUCUGCUGCCUCUCAGGGUGCUUUAGCUGGCAGGUGGAAUCAGAAGCAGAAUCUUGAACUCAGGGACUCUGGUAUGUGAUGCAGGAGUCCUAAGUGGUGAUUUGAGUGCUUGCCGUAUGCUGUCCCUUAAUUGUCUUUUGUACAUUGUCUCUUCAUUUUGUUUUGGAGGAGAAGCUGUGUUAUUGUAUACAGGAAUCUCAAUAGUGCACACUGAUCCUGCUUUGUGGGCUUGGGGUGACAGGACCAGUACUGGGCACUGGCAAGCACUAAUUCUUGGUUCACUGAUCUUAAGCAAGCUGGGCAUUCAAAUACCAUGUGGCCUAUAACUGCAUCUUUUUAUUGAUCAUUGGUGAUGAUGGUGAUUCCUGCCACCCAUCCCGAGAGUAAAUGGUAGGAGUGGGGAUUCUAUUGCAGGCUUCCAUGGACUGUGAUGUUUUUUCCCCUCGGACAGAGCGGUUGACGUGCAGACGAAUGAGAUUUACUGAAGUCUCCUGAGCUGAAGCAGGUGUUAACUCAUUGAAUGUGGUGCUUGUCUUGCGUGUUCACACAGAUGCUAUGUUCAGGGUGUAGAGUUGGGUCCACUGGUAAAGGAUUCAUUGAACACUGGAGUUCAGGGGUGUUUGGUGCAGCAGUUAAGGAACCAUCUGGGAGGAUGGCACCCAUCUGUGAGUGCUUGAGUUCUAGUUCCAGCUACCAUUCCAAUUCUAGCUACCUGUCAAUUCAUACCCUGUGGGGCAGCAGGUAAUGGCUUAGGUAGCUGGCUCCCUGCCAUCCAUGUGGGAGACCCAGACUGAGUUCCAGGUCCUCCCUGGGCUAUGCAGUGUGAUGGACUGGGUAGGGAGGACUCCUCACUUCUCAUGGAAUAAUUGUGAUUUUUCAGUGCUCUGUUGGGCCCUCUAUAUUCCCCCUGUGGUGCACAUGACCUGGGGCUCUGCCACCUUACUGGAGUUGCAAAGGCCUGACUGAGGGUGUGCAGGCAGGGACAAUGGAGGGAGCGUGAGGAGCUCUCCUGGGUCCAGUGCCUGAGCCUCCCCAGGGCGACAUCCUCCUCCUCCCUAGACUGGGCACCCUCACCCAGGGGUUCACUGAGCAGCCGCCACUCUUCACAUGGCCAGAGGCCCCCGUGGCAUGAAGAAGUCACAGUAGUCCCUGCACACGCUGCAGGCUCUGCUGGGAGUUACGGGGCACUCUGUGGAAACUCCAUACUAUGGAAUUGUGGGGUAUAGCAUCUGGAGCCAUUGGAGAAUCCUCAGGGAGGAGCUGGGCAGGGCUCACAGGGGCUGAAAGGGAUGAAGGAGACAGGGAGCCCAGCCUGGUGACAGCGAGGAUGAGGGUGCCCCCAAGGAAGCAGACGGGGCUCUGGAUAGCUGCAUGCUCACUCAGAGUCAGAGGCCACUUGGAGUCGGUCCAGAUUGCGGAAGGACACAUGGGCUUCGGCGGGAUGCCGCAGAGCUCCUGUCCACCCUGAAACUGAUGAACGAUGAGGAGCACGGAGCCCUGUGCAUGCUCCCCGAUCCACAGGGCAGGGCACAUGGAGCACUCACGGUGCUGAAGAGCUGGAUGCUCCGUUCCCUCGGCCUUCACUGAAGUGGGAAGCCGACAUCAAGGGGCAGGACUUACCACUAACUGAGCCCCACCCUGUCUGCAGCCCACACACCUGCUUUAGCGUCUCUGAACCUGCUCCUAUGUCUCCCAUCUGCCUGUGAGUUUCUGCCUUCCCCAGGAGUCACAUCCUCCAUCCCAGCACCCUCUCAUUUGUUUCCCUCCAUGUCCUCCUGGAGCUUGUCCAGGGGGCUUUUCUCCUCCUUUAUUGUCUUGGCUCUUAUCAUCUCAAGGACUUGGGUCACAGCCCAGCACUGCUCUGAAAGGUUCCGGGGAUAUUUAGCACCUUUAUGAAUUUUGCAAUUGCUUUCAUGCACUUAUCAUUGCUGCAGAACUCAUUUUGAUACCAACUACUCCACCUUUAAGCAGAUCGAAUUGGUUGAUCACACACCCCCUUGGGGGUGGAUGACGGUGCAGAGUGGACACAUGGACUCACCAUACUCUCCUGAAAUGUGCACUUUUCAGUCUACGGUACCUGACGUGUCCUCUAUGUUUAGUAGGGUCUCUGCUCAUGAUUUCCCCUGGGAUGUGACAUUCGUUUCUGGAUCUCACACCUGUGAUCUGCACACGUUCCUCACACACACUUGUCCCUAUCCCUGUGAGUGCUAUUUGUAUAUCUCCUGUGAUUUACCAGAGAGGCCCAUGAUCAGUCCCCUUUCAUUUGUCUCUGAAUCCACAUGUCUGCCAACUUCCUGUUUUUGAGGAUUAACAAAUAUACAGAUGAUUCCCAGGUUCCCUGAGUCCUCUGACCUGGGAGCAGAGGCAUUUGUCAUCCAGGGAGUGACACUCAGUGGUGUUAGCACAUUUGGGGUGUCUGGAAAGAAUUGUCUUCCAAUAGACGUGUACUCUGCAGGAGGGGACAGGAGCGUUGAGGUCACCAGAACCAUGGGUCAAGAGAAGACGUGCUCACCUGCUUAUUGUCUAUUUACAGCAUGGAGAAACUGUUUGCCUCUCCCAAGACAGCUGCCACUCACUGAUUCCUGCAAUGAUAGGGGCCCUGGACAGUGGAGACUGCUGCCUGCUCAGCUCCUUCCAACGCUGUGAGUGAAGCCCCUCUCUGCUUGAGUCUUCAGUGAUUCCUCUCUAUGGACUGAUGACUGCAUCCACUAAUGUGUGACUUCUUGCCUCCACCACGAAGUUAAAUAUGGCAAUCUCAAGAGGGGAUGAAAAAUCUCUUGUCUAAAAGUGUAUUUGUGUUCUUUCUGCUGUUCUUCCUCCUCCAGAUAGUCUUAAAUCUUUUCUUUGGAGCCUUCCCUUCCAUUCGCAGAACCUUUCAGCCGUUCUCUCGGGCUCUGUGGUCCACUGUGAAAUCUCUUAGUUUCCUAUCGUGUGAGAGUCUCUCUUAAUAUCCACUGGUUCCUGCAGGAUGAUUUGUCUGGACAUUGAGUUCCCGGCUGACACUUCUUUUAUUUCAGCAUUUCAGAAGUUUUGUGUCCUCUUCUUUUGGACAGCAGGGUUUCCAGAAGAAAUUUGCUCUUUGGUAUUCUUUUGGCCUGUAGAUGAUAUGUAGUUUUCCUCUUCCCCCAUUUCAACAUUUUGUCUGUCUGUAGUUUGCUGAUUUUUUACUAUCAUGUACCUUCUCAUGAGUUUGUUUGGGCUUAUUAUAUUUUAGUUUCACUCAGCUCCUUCAAAUUGUGGAUUUUAAUCUGUCGGAUUGAUGGUUGUUGGCCAUUAUUAUUUGACUACGUUUUCACCCAUGCCUUCUUUCUUUUCCUUCCAGGAAACAAAAACAAUAGGAAUGUUAAAUCCUUUACUAAUGCCUCCUGUGUCCCUCAGAAUUUGUUCUUUUUUAAAAAAAAUUUUAUAUGUUUCUCUGAUUGUAUAAUUUAUAUCUUUUUGUCUUCCAGUUGUUUUCUCUGUUCUAAUUUUGUGUCUAUCCAUGUAGAUUUUCCUUCAGUUAUUGUAUGUUUUAGUUCUAAAAUUCCCCACUGGCUCUUGUUUAUAUCUUAUUAUUUGCAGAGAUUCUGUACUUUCGCUUGUUUCAUGUAGUUUUGUACUUCCCUGGGAAGCAUCUUUAGGAAGCCUGCUUUGAAAUUCUGGUGAGACCAUUCUGACAUCUGUGUCACGUCAGGACUGGCAUCUGGGCACUGAGUUUCUCACUGAAGCUGAGAUUCUCCUGGUCUUAGAAGAGGGAACUCUGACUGUCCUCAAAUAUUUUGCAGGCAGCAGGUGGCUGAAAUCCUGGUGUGAUGUGGCUACACAACAUGUAACCUGCAACCCAGCACCAGAGACUUCAGCAUAGGUCUAGAAAUUUCCUAUACACGUCUCAACCUACUGAGCACCGCAGGAGGAGUCACUGGGACAACUCUUCACAUGGGUUCUGUGCCCGCUGACAGAACUCGGGAGCACCCGACUGUUUCAUCCUUUGCUGCCAGCAGGUUUAUUUUACCUGUAUUCUUUGAUGUAAAUUCAGGUUGGAAAUUCAAAGCUGAGGAUUUGGUACGAGGUCUUCCUCAUACUUGGACUUUGACGUGUAAUUACGUCGUUGGUCGCCCCUGCUACUUUGCUGUGAAGAUCGUGUCCUCUCUGGUGUGUCUGACAGGUGCUCUUCUGUGUCUGGCUGCUUCCGUCGUUACAGUGUGUGAGUCUUUGGAGUUAUUCUGAUAGGGUAUGAAAAAAAACAAAGUGUGUUUUCCCUGCUGUCACACUAAUUACAACCCAGCGUGUCCGGCCACCAAGAUGUGAGGCAAUUUCUCACUUCCCACAGCCACUCGGUUCUGAGGCAGAUUUCCCAGUGGAUGGCAGCUGGUGACCCACAGUUUUGUUCAGUUCCAGCUCUGCCCACCUGAGGCAGUGUGGCAUCCCACAGGUGAGGACCCAGUCCCAGGACCCCAUACCCACUCCAGGGGCCAGGUUGUGACCUGUGCUCAGAUCGACCAACAUAAAUUGGGGAUCCCAUGACCGCCUCACCCUGGAGUUUAACUGAUUUCCUAGAGCAGCUCACAGAACCCAGGGAAACAUGUCACCUGUGUUCGCCCAUGUAUUAUAAUGGAAUUACCGAGGAUACAGAAGAACAGCCACAUGGCCGAGAUGCCCGAGGCUGGACCUGUGGGAGGGGGUGGAGCUCCCGUGCCCUCCCAGGUGUGCCACCCUCCAGAAACCUGCCCGUGUUCUGCAACCAGGAAGUCCAUCUGAACUCUGACCUUUGGGUCUCUGUGAAGGCUGCCUCACCUAGGCUUGUUGGAUGACAUCACUGGCCAGUGUGACCAACUUAACCUUCAGCUGCCCUCUGGGGUUGAAAGUGCCAAUCCUGUGAUCAUGCCUUGUUCUCUCUGGAUGAGCAGCCACAUCCUGACGCCUUCCAGGUCCCCAUACAAAAGAAGUGGUUACCAUGCAGAGAUGUCAAAGGUUUUAGAGCUUAUUCGCAGGACAUGGAGGGCAGAGACCAGAUAUGUAUUUCUUCCUGUCAUAGUGAGUGUUGUUUCUGUGUAGAAUGGGAUCAUGGUUGGUGUGCACUCUUAGACUGUGUGGCUAUGUUCCUCUUGUCAGGUUUGGAGUUUUCCACUUCUUUGUAAAGAUGUAUUAUUUAUUUGAGAGGUGGAGUUACAAAGAGGGAGAGACAGAAAUGUCUAACAUCGGGGUUCACUUGCAUAAUCCCAGAGGUGUGCCAAUCCGAAGCCAGGAGCUUCUUCUGGGGUUCCACAUGAGUGCAUGUGCCCAGGCACUUAGACCAUCUUCUGCUGCUUUCCCAGGCCAUAGCAGAGUUUGAUUGGAAGAGGAGCAACCAGGUCUCGACCCGGUGACCAUAGGGAAGCCUGUGCUGCAGGAUGAGGCUUUACCUGCUAUGCUAUAGCACCGGCCCCAGUUUCCAACUGUGAAUUCUAGUGCUGUGAACAUUCUCGUUUGUACUGAUGGGGUUCAGGAAUAACUACUCCAAAACGUGACACUCUGGCAUGCAGAAUGUCGUAAGCUUUGAGAAAAUGGUAGAAGCAGGGAACCCAUUCUCACUCCCGCUCCCUGAAGCAGGUCAUCCGCCCUAGCUGGGAUUUUCUUCCCUUCCCCUCAAGUAGCAACUAGGAUGCUCACAGGACAGGUCCCUCUGUCCCCAGAGGACGGGGCCAUCCUUAUCUCUGAAUGAAAGGACACGGAGAACCAUCUGAGCCCGCAGGCCUGGGUGAGUGUCCUCUACUUUACUGUCAUGUGAUCAGACCCCUGCCCCCUGGGGUGUUUCUCCACAACUGUGCCUUGUGCAUCAACCCUGGACUAAAACCCUGUGGGCUAGCUGUUUCCUGGGCCUUCAGUUCCUUACACGGCCUCCUAUGUCAUGUAGAACUUACAUUACAUGUAUUUUAUAUUUCCCAUUUGCUAAUCUCAUUGUUACAGGGCUCUAGGCUGUGAGCAUUGGAUGUAUAGAGGAAAAGGUGUUUCUGUCCCCCUGGAAUCUUAUGCAUGAACGUUCAUUUCCAUUCCUCUUGCACCUACAGAUGAGGGGCAGUUUUUUUUUUUUUUUAAGAUUUUAUUUCUUUAUUUCAGAGCCAGAAUGAUGGAGAAAGGUCUUCCUUCCACUGGUUCACUCUCCAAAUGGCCACCAUGGGCAGAGCUGGGUUGAUCAGGAGCCAGCUGCGUUCCAGUUCUCCCACACGGGUGCAGGGGCCCAAGCACUUGGGCCAUCUUCUACUGCUUUCCCAGAUGACAGCAGAGAGCUGGAUUGGAAGUGGAGCAGCUGGAACUCAAACCAGCGCCCAUAUGGGAUGCUGGCACUGCAGGCAGCAGCUUUACCUGCUAGGCCACAGUGCCAGCCCCAGUCUGAACAUUUUGUACAAUAAAGCUUACAUAUUUAAAACGCAGGUAAAUUUAUUAAAUGAGAAUCUUCUACCUCCCCCCACUGUCUGCACAGCACAUUAAAUAAAUCUGUCAUUUUCACCCAUCAGAUUCUGAACAUGAUUCUUAGUGUACUUCCCCAUCAUUUUGUGAUGUGGUUCAUGGUUUCAGUAUGCACAAAGCUUUCUUAUUUUAAAAACUAACUCAGGAGCUGGCCUGUGGUACAAUGGUUUAAGCUGCUGCUUGCAAUGUCGGCAUGCCAUACUGGAGUGCUGGCUCAAGUCCCCGCUGCUCUGCCUCUGAUCCAACUCCCUGCUACUGUGCCUUUGAAAGCAGUGGGAGAUGGCCCACGUGCUCAGGCUCAUGCCACUCACAUAGGAGACCCAAAUGGAGUUCCUAGCUCCUGGUUUGGGUCUGGCCAAGACCUAGAUGUCACGGCCAUUUGGGGAGUGAACCAGAAAACAGAAGUCUGCCUCUCUCUGCCUUCCAACUAAUCUGAAUAUCUUUGUCAAUUUAACCAAUAAUUCCUUUUGCCAUUUAAGACAUAUCAAAGACAAUUAGAAUGUUGAGCCAGAAUUGUGGCACAGUGCAUUAAACCACUGCUGUGAUGCCCACAUCCCAUAUUUUAAUGCCAAUCCCGCUGCCUGCUAAUGUACCUGGGAGAUCUAGAUGCCAUUCCAGGCUUCUGCCAUUUCCAGAGUUGACCCGUGAAUAGAAGAUCUCUGUCUCUCCCCUUCUCGGUUACUCUCCUUUCAAAUAAAUAAAACAUCUUUAAAUAAAAUAUAUAUUAGAAGUUAAAAUUACUUUGUAUCUUUCUGUUCCCACUUAUACCCCAAUCCCAGAUACAAAGACCUUUUCUUAUUGGCACCUAUUUUCCAUAUGUAUACCAUAACAUACCUAUAAGUUAUUUAAGUAUAUUCUCUACCACGAUGGAACAAUAUUGUACAUUAUAUUUUGUGACUUACCUAAUUAACUAAACAUGAUUAUUAUUUAUUUUUUUCUUUCUGCUUCCUUUCAUUUGUUUUCAUAUCAACGAAAUUUUUUUUACAGUUUUUAAAGUUUAUUUUUAUUAGAAAGGCAGACACACAAAAAGAGAAGACAGAGUGAGACUGAUAUUUUUGGUCCACUUCUUAACUCUUCAAAUGCCUGUAGUAGUUGGAACUGGGCUAGGCCCAAGCCCGGAGUUUCAACUCAAUCCCACUCUCCCACGAUGAUGUCCCGGGACCCAAGAACAUGAGCCAUCCCCUGCUCUCUGCCAGGGUGCACUUCAGCCAGAAGCUGGAAUCAGGAGAACUGGGCCCCGAGCCAGGCACUCUGAUCUGGGAUGCGGCUGCCCAAGCAGCAAUCUAACUGCUGCGCCCAACGCCUGCCCCUUAUUCUGCUUCUGUUGUGCGCUCUUAAUAGCAUUGACUUUUUUUUUUAAGAUUUAUUUACCUACCUGAAAGGUGAGCUACAGAGACAGAGGUCUUCCAUGCAAUGUUUCCCUCCCCAGAUGGCCACAAUGGCUGGAGCUGCACCGAUCUGAAGCCAGGAGCUUCUUCCAGGUCUCCCACAUGGGUACAGGGGCCCAGAGACUUGGGCCAUACUCCACUGCCCUCCCAGGCCACAGCAGAGAGCUGGACUGGAAGUGGAACAGCCAGGACUUGAACCAGCACCCACAUAGGAUGCCGGCACUUGCAGGCGGUGGCUUUACCUGCUAUGCCACAGCACCAGCCCCAAUACCAUUG